GAUGAACGCUGGCGGCGUGCUUAACACAUGCCAGUCGAACGAAGCACUUAAGAUUGUUUCUUCGGAUGACUUCUUUUGGACCGUAGUGUCAGACGUGGGAGUAACGCCUGUGUAACCUGCCUCACACAGGGGGAUAACAGUUAGUAAUGACUGCUAUUACCGCAUAACCCGAUAGGAUCGCAUGAUCCAGACGGAUGAGAUUUAUCGGUGUAAGAUGGACGCGCUUCUGAUUUGCUAGUUGGUGAGGUAACGGCGCACCAAGGCGACGAUCAGUAGACGGCCUGAGAGGGUGAACGGCCACAUUGGGACUGAGACACGGCCCAAACUCCUACGGGAGGCAGCAGUGGGGAAUAUUGCACAAUGGGGGAAACCAUGAUGCAGCGACGCCGCGUGAGUGAAGAAGUAUUUCGGUAUGUAAAGCUCUAUCAGCAGGGAAGAAAAUGACGGUACCUGAAUAAGAAGCCCCGGCUAACUACGUG
rnacentral:rRNA from 1 species